AUUGAACGCUGGCGGCAGGCCUAACACAUGCAAGUCGAACGCGUGGCGGAGGGGUGAGUAAUGUCUGGGAAACUGCCCGCUGGAGGGGGGUAAAAACUGGAAACGGUAGCUAAUACCGCAUACCCUCGGAUGUGACCAGAUGGGAUUAGCGCGUAGGUGAGGGAACGGCGCACCUCGGCGACGAUCCCUAGCUGGUCUGAGAGGAGGACCAGCCAAACGGGAAAUUAGACACGGUCCAGACUCCUACGGGAGGCAGCAGUGGGGAAUAUUGAACAAUGUGCGCAAGCCUGAUGCAGCCAUGCCGCGUGUAUGAAGAAGGCCUUCGGGUUGUAAAGUACUUUCAGCGGGGAGGCGUUACCCGCAGAAGAAGCACCGGCUAACUCCGUGCCAGCCGCCGCGGUAAUAC
rnacentral:rRNA from 1 species